GACGAACGCUGGCGGCGUGCUUAACACAUGCAAGUCGAACGAGUGACGAACGGGCGAGUAACACGUGGCUGACCUGCCCUGCACUUCGGGAUAAGCCUGGGAAACAGCGUCUAAUACUGGAGAGUGUGCGAUGGGCUCGGGGCGGAUCAGAUUGUUGGUGGGGUAAUGGCUACCAAGGCGCGACGCGUAGCCGGUCUGAGAGGGUGGGCAGCCACAUUGGGACUGAGACACGGUCCAGACUCCUACGGGAGGCAGCAGUGGGGAAUAUUGCACAAUGGGCGCAAGCCUGAUGCAGCCAUGCCGCGUGUGUGAAGAAGGCCUUCGGGUUGUAAAGUACUUUCAGCGGGGAGGCGUUACCCGCAGAAGAAGCACCGGCUAACUCCGUGCCAGCAGCCGCGGUAAUAC
rnacentral:rRNA from 1 species